rnacentral:rRNA from 1 species
GACGAACGCUGGCGGCGUGCUUAACACAUGCAAGUCGAACGGUAAGGCCCUUCGGGGUACACGAGUGGCGAACGGGCGAGUAACACGUGGGUGAUCUGCCCUGCACUUCGGGAUCAGCCAGGGCAACUGGGUCUAAUACCGGCUAGGACCACGGCCUGCAAGGGUGGGUGUGGAAAGCUUUUGCGGUGUGGGAUGGGCGCGCGGCCUAUCAGGUUGUUGGUGGGGUGAUGGCCUACCAAGGCGACGACGGGUAGCCGGCCUGGGAGGGUGACCGGCCACACUGGGACUGAGAUACGGCCCAGACUCCUACGGGGGGCAGCAGUGGGGAAUAUUGCACAAUGGGCGCAAGCCUGAUGCAGCGACGCCGCGUGAGGGAUGACGGCCUUCGGGUUGUAAACCUCUUUCAGCACCGACGAAGCGCAAGUGACGGUAGGUGCAGAAGAAGGACCGGCCAACUACGUGCCAGCCGCCGCAGUAA